rnacentral:rRNA from 1 species
CGUAGGGUGCAAGCGUUAAUCGGAAUUACUGGGCGUAAAGCGUGCGCAGGCGGUUAUGUAAGACAGAGGUGAAAUCCCCGGGCUCAACCUGGGAACUGCCUUUGUGACUGCAUAGCUAGAGUACGGUAGAGGGGGAUGGAAUUCCGCGUGUAGCAGUGAAAUGCGUAGAUAUGCGGAGGAACACCGAUGGCGAAGGCAAUCCCCUGGACCUGUACUGACGCUCAUGCACGAAAGCGUGGGAGCAAACAGGAUUAGAUACCCUGGUAGUCCACGCCCUAAACGAUGUCAACUGGUUGUUGGGUCUUUACCUGACUCAGUAACGAAGCUAACGCGUGAAGUUGACCGCCUGGGGAGUACGGCCGCAAGGUUG